UAUUCUAAUGAAUACCUCUCAGGGCCUUUUAUAAGACCCAGUGAACAAUUUUUGCAGACCCUCUUCCUUUGGUUGAGGGUG
rnacentral:snRNA from 1 species